UGAAAAGUGGUUAUUUCCAUGUUGGCCUCUUCAUUUCAACAUUGCUAACAUGUGUCAGAUGUUCGACUGCUUUGUGUUUCUGAUUGGUCAUUGAAACAAGUUUAAAGUGCUUCAUUUUAGUUGAUGCCUCAUGCUUUCAGUGAGAUAUUUAUGCUCCUAGUUCAACAGCCGGGGUCACAUCAGCGGUUCCUCAUUGACACUGUCAUCUUCGUUUUGGACUCUAGAGGGCGCCCUCAUCCCUCUUCUGGAAACAAUUAAAGCAACUUCCUCCAACUGUCAACACCUUUACAAAACACACAAAUUUCUCACACAGAGGCCCCUGGUGGGAAUUAAACGCAGGCAGCUGGAAGGAAACACAUCAGGAUCGACACGACGAAAAGAGAAUCAAAGUCCAGCAGGAAUUACAAGACAAGGGGGAGAGACCAGGAGGAACAAGAACAAAACCUGCCUGCAGGUUAUGACGGGCUUAGGCAACAAAGCAACCUGUUUAGAUUUCAACACAAGCUUUUGUUUAGUUUUGCAAACAAAUCUCAUCCCACUCUUCAACAUGCAUGUUUUUAAAAAAGCACCCUUAUAAUUAGGCUUUGAUUUUAAAAACACUGUGUCGAUGCGACAGCUUUCUCUGCUGCGUCAUUGAUAUAUUGGUUCCGGUCUCUGUACUGUGCAAAAAAAUUGCAAUUUGAUAACUUUUCCUUUAUACAUAGUUUUAAGACUAUGAAUCAUAACAUAUGCACAAAUGCAUAAAACACUAUAUAUUGAAAAGCUACAACAGCAUCAGUAAAUUCCUCUGAUUUGCAGCCUUUGCAGCUUUAACCACUCUCACUUCCCCAUCCAUCUGACCCAGCAAACAUGACACUCCGACUCCCCCCGCUGACAGCCUCAAAGCAAAUACGACUAUUAAUACUGGGGCAUCUGGGGCGAGAAUACCACAGUCAUGCCAAUCCUGAAGCAUGAGGGACCUCCUGAGUUUCAUGUCCUCUGAAUGAAGAAGGAAGGCACCUGUAAUGAGGGUGUCACUCUAACCGUUUAACCUUCUCUGGGUGACUUUCCUGAAACCACAUCAUAGCUCACGCCGCAGGGUCCCUCGCUGUGGCAGGUGGUGGAAACACACAUGCAGGUAACAUGUGCAGUCAUUCAAUCUCAGAUGAGACUGCACCGCGGAGAAGCUACACAGUACUGGGUGUAUUUUCAUGACAUAUUCUUAUCUAACCCUAAAUCUAAAGCCAGGUCCUGGACCUUAAAGCGGGGGGUGUAUUUUUGGGAGUGGUAAAUAUACAACCGGUCUCAUCGUCUUCCCUGAACGAGAAGCAGAGGGUUCCUGGCCAGGGAUGAGUUGUAGCACAGCUGCUGCCGCUCUGGUGGUGGUGACUCAAAGCUGAAGUUAACAGAGAUGUCAUGCAGCAUCUCCAGACCCGCUGUCUGCGUCUGCGGAGGAAAUGAUGGCCUCACGCCGCCUUUGAUGCGCUCUCCGGUUACCUCUUCAUCACCCAUCCAGUCCUUUACAUGUGGAAAGCCCUUCACAGCUUACUCUGUCACUUGUCCCUUUAAACAGUUUAAGAGAAAAAAAACCCAAACAGUUUAUGGUUAGUUUGGGGUGAAAGUUCCUGUACAGCAAAAACUAAAAGCAACAUGAUGAUCUCAACAAGUGUAUUGCACUGUUUUCUCAUCAGAAUAUCACAAAAACAAAGAUAUCAGUAAUAUUUGCAAAAUUUAUUUUAGAAGAGGCUUUCCCUCCAACUGUAUGUAUUGAAAUUUCUGUCUUUACCAGUUUGCAUUUCUAAAACGGUCCUCAAGCAGACACUCAAACAGACAAUAACAAAUGCAGAUCAGUAUUUAAAUCAGUCAGAUCAUAUCUGUUAUUACCUGUUUGAAUAUAAUCAGAAUUACCAAAUUUUAACUGCCAGGGUGUCUUUUUCUUUAUUGUUUCUUUGUAUUAGGAAAAUUGUAAUUUCAAAUGUUCCACAUAGAUGUAAGUACUGAUCUGUAUGAGUGAAACAAAUAACAUGAUGAAUAAUGCACUCUGAAUAUUCCAUAAAGAAGUUCAUUCUUUCGUGUUCUACAUCUAUUUGUCCUUCUCAGGGUUGUGGGGCACUGAAGCUGAACCCAGCUGACCCUGGGAUGAAGACAUAGAUUUAUUAGAAACAUUUACUCUUAUUAGAACUUCAGAAUCACCGGUUACCUCAGUGUUUUUAGAUUAUGAAUGGAAGUUGAAAAACCUGUGGAGAAUAACCCCAACCAAAGGGAGAACAGGGAAAGCACUGCUAGAAAGGCCUCUAAGUAUGGACUGAAUCCAUGCAUGUUCGCUGCUGCUUUAAGGCGAAAUUACUCACAAUGACGGCACCUUGUGGGUCCUGCAAAAAAAAAAAAAAAGAAGAAGAACAAAACUAAGGCAUCAGUUUAAA